UGCAUCAUACAAAAUUUGGAAAGAGAUAAUUUUUUUAUUUUAAUAUUGUAUGAUUUUUUGAAAAAAAAUUAUACAUGUUCGUCUUUGCAUGAAUUUUUAAAUAAAUAUUAUUUUAUUAUUUUUUUGAAAGAUAUAAAAAUUUGAGUUGAUCCUAUUAUUAAAAAAAUAAAUAUCAUUAUUUAUGAAAAAUUAGUUAUGCUAAAAUCAUGAGAAAAAAUUCUUUAGUUAGACUAUGAUCUAGAUCUAGUCAAUAGGACUAAUCGUUGGCCAUAUAUUAGAAACAUAUUUUUUCUGGGCCUAGCUAGUCGGGGCUGAUCGCUAGCAGAGUUAGUCCUUCUGGGCCUAGCCAGUAAGGAUUGAUCACUGGUACAUGUUGAUGCAUCGCAUGUUUCUUACUUUAGGACUAAUCUCUUUACCUUGUCAUAGGGCAAAUCAUGAUCGUGUGAAUUAGAACUAGUUCCCUCCUGAGCUUAGCCAGUAGGACUGAUCAUUGGUGCAUGCUGAUGGAUCGGAUAUUUUAUAUUUAGAAGCUAAUAUUUUUUUGGUCUUGUCAUGGGGCUAAUCGUGACCGUAGUCAACAAAGACUAAGAAAGAUUUUUAAAGAUUAUUGCUACACAUGGCAUGUUUUGAAAAUUCAAGUUAUAUGGGUAUUUGCAUAUAUUAUUAUAUAUUUGAAAAAAAAAAUUAUUAUACUUGAUCCUUCAGAGAUAUUGAUAACUUACUGAGCUCGAAAAGCUCAUUUUUUUUUCUAUUUUUUC
rnacentral:lncRNA from 1 species